ACUCUAUAAUUGAUGACUAGUGAAAUACCCGCGCAAUGCUGCGGAUGUAAAAAUAUUUUUAUAAUAAAUUUUACUUUUUUUAAUAUUUUCAUAUAGUUUUAUAAGUCUAAUUAUUAAUUAAAUAAAAAUUAUAUAAAAAUAAUUUAAUCGGUAAAUCUAUUUAAAUAAAAGUCAUUAAAAUUGGUAUAUGCGCAAAGUAAUUUAUACAAUAAUUUAUUUUAUAAAUAUUUAUAUGAAAAUGAUUUGAGAUAAAUCUAUCAAAAUAAUUUAAAAAAAAUCAAUAAAUAGGAGAAAAAUAAAAUUGUAAAAGAAAUUAUUUAAUAGCAUUAAUUAUAUAUACACAAAAAUACACUAUAUUUCUAAAAUUUUACUCCUAAAAUUUAAAUACUGUAUUUUUUUUUAUACAGCGAUAUUUUACGUGAUUUAAAUUGCAUCUAUCAAGUUAGAUUUUAUUACGCAAUUUAUUACACGUAUUAUUAAUAAAAUUAAUUAAUUUCAUAGAGUUUAGAGAUUUAAAAUUUUAGACUUU
rnacentral:lncRNA from 1 species